GAUGAACGCUGGCGGCGUGCUUAACACAUGCCAGUCGAACGAAGCACUUUAUUUGAUUUCCUUCGGGACUGAUUAUUUUGUGACUGAGUGGCGGACGGGUGAGUAACGCGUGGGUAGCCUGCCUUGUACAGGGGGAUAACAGUUGGAAACGGCUGCUAAUACCGCAUAAGCGCACAGCAUCGCAUGAUGCAGUGUGAAAAACUCCGGUGGUAUAAGAUGGACCCGCGUUGGAUUAGCUAGUUGGUGAGGUAACGGCCCACCAAGGCGACGAUCCAUAGCCGACCUGAGAGGGUGACCGGCCACAUUGGGACUGAGGCACGGCCCAAACUCCUACGGGAGGCAGCAGUGGGGAAUAUUGCACAAUGGGCGAAAGCCUGAUGCAGCGACGCCGCGUGAGCGAAGAAGUAUUUCGGUAUGUAAAGCUCUAUCAGCAGGGAAGAUAAUGACGGUACCUGACUAAGAAGCACCGGCUAAAUACGUG
rnacentral:rRNA from 1 species